CAUAAAACACAUCAUAUCCCAGUUUAACUACAUUAAACAUUUGAGAAAUUAUAUCAACUUGAAAAAUAACAAGUGCAAGAUAAUUUGUCAGAAGGCGGAGCUUAACACAGAAACACAUUAGUUCAGUGAUCAGCAUCACAUACAGCAUCACUCAGGCAAGCAGCAUCUACCAUCAUGUUCACUUGUGUCCUGAUAUUGCUGACUUUAACAGAAGGUAACAGAGCUAAAGAGGUCAUCACUCCAUACAGUGAUGCAGCAUUUGCCACUGAGACCGAGAGUGUGAAACUCUCUUGUAACUACAGCGGUUCUGUUGAUAGUCUUCACUGGUAUCGACAAUAUGCAGGUUCACCACCACAGUUCCUCAUACUGGAAUCCUAUGGAACAGUUACUCCCGCUAAUCCUCCAGUUCCUGGAAUAUCCAUCAGUCACAGAAAAGAGGACAAACGUGUGUAUCUGAUCAUCUCCUCUGCUGCAGUAUCAGACUCUGCUCUGUAUUACUGUGCUCUGAGGCCCACAGUCACAGGAAACACAAGAACACUGUACAAAAAUACUGUACUGAUGUUAGUCUUACAGUCAGAUGUUGUCAAAAACAACACAUCUCCAUACAGGUAA